AGAAUGAACGCUGGCGGCAUGCCUAACACAUGCAAGUCGAACGAAGGCUUCGGCCUUAGUGGCGCACGGGUGCGUAACGCGUGGGAAUCUACCCCUUGGUUCGGAAUAACAGUUGGAAACGACUGCUAAUACCGGAUGAUGACGUAAGUCCAAAGAUUUAUCGCCGAGGGAUGAGCCCGCGUAGGAUUAGCUAGUUGGUGUGGUAAAGGCGCACCAAGGCGACGAUCCUUAGCUGGUCUGAGAGGAUGAUCAGCCACACUGGGACUGAGACACGGCCCAGACUCCUACGGGAGGCAGCAGUGGGGAAUAUUGGACAAUGGGCGAAAGCCUGAUCCAGCAAUGCCGCGUGAGUGAUGAAGGCCUUAGGGUUGUAAAGCUCUUUACCCGGAUGAUAAUGACAGUACCGGGAGAAUAAGCUCCGGCUAACUCCGCGCCAGCAGCCGC
rnacentral:rRNA from 1 species